rnacentral:ncRNA from 1 species
AAAUAGAAUUAAAUAAUUGCUUAUAUAAUAGCCGAAAUAAGGUUGGCAAGUUUCUACCUAGGGACCGUAAAUCUCUGGACUAUAAGCAUAUGAUUUUAUAUU